UACGGAGGGUGCAAGCGUUAUCCGGAUUUAUUGGGUUUAAAGGGUGCGUAGGCGGUUAUUUAAGUCAGUGGUGAAAGUUUUCGGCUCAACCGGAAAAUUGCCAUUGAUACUGGGUAGCUAGAAUAUGGUUGCUGUGAGUAGAAUGUGUGGUGUAGCGGUGAAAUGCAUAGAUAUCACACAGAAUACCGAUUGCGAAGGCAUCUCACAAAGCCAUCAUUGACGCUGAGGCACGAAAGUGUGGGGAUCAAACAGG
rnacentral:rRNA from 2 species